AAAGAUUAUGGAAUCCUAUAAAUAGAUUUAUUCGAGUAAUAUGUGAAUGAAUCUUUUUCUUGGGUGUGAGACCUAAGAACCCUACGUUUGACACCUAGCUUAUCCCUUUUCUUUCUUUUCUUUGAGUUUAGCUUGUCCUACAUCACAUACCUUUCUAUCAUAAUUGGUAAGGAAGGUACAAGUAUUUUUUAUUUUGAUGUAUGACUAAUAAUUAUUAGUUGUUACCUUCACACAGUGACAUGAUUUUGCAGGAGUAUUUAUCCUGCGUAAUCUAGAGGUACAAAUUAUUAUCAUCCCUUUCAUCUACCCAGAAUUUGGUAAAUUGAACAUAUUAGUACGCAUAUGUUGCAUGUUGUGAAUCACAUGGAAGAGCUUGUUUGGCCACUUUCAAUCAUUUUAUUUUAAAUCGGAAUUUCUGAACAAGUAUGAGCAUAAAAGGUAUAUAUAUAUUACAUAUGUCAAUUAUCAAUUUUAUGGGUUUUUAGAUGUCUUGAAGAUCUCUAUCUCAGCUAUGAUGUUAGUUGUGCUGAACUGACUUUAGAAAGAAAAGUUAUGCGACUUGAUGGGUGCUUUAUCAAAGUUUAAAGAGAGAGAGUACUAUUGAUAUGGUGGUUCGUGAAUUAGGAUAGUGGUAUGUUGGUUUUACUGAUUUCUUGGGCUGCUGUGUUUGAAAUUUAGUAAAUAUGAGGGUGGAAGUAAAAAUAAAAAUGAAAAGGUAAUGAUGUCAAAAGGAUAUAUUUGUAAGACUAGAUAUAGUUAGAAUUAUGUUUAGCAGGCAGGUCUUUUUUUAUGAGUAAUGUUGGGGAUUUUAAAUUUUGCCUCAAAUGAGUCUAAAAUGACACGACAUUAAAUAUUUUAAUGAUAAUUUAUAGGAUAGCCAAUCAAAUGAGAUUACGGUGACACAUUAUUUGUGAAAUUUUUUUGAGACAAAAUUUGAUACCCCUAAUAUCACCUUUUUUUUUAUUUAUGUUUUAUUUUGUUUUGUUUUCCUUUUCCAUUAAUCCUAUUUUAAUUUGCCAAACAGCCUAAAUGUUUUGGGGAUAUCUGUCUUCUGUUUUAUUUAUGGAUGCUUACAGCACGUUACUGUUUGAAGCAUUUGGGCUCUUUUCCCUCUGGUUGAUGAUGUGGAAACUUGACUGCUCAUGCCGGAAUGUAAAGUUAAGUUUUACACAAAAUCUAUGGUCAUGCGAUUUGAUUCCAUUAGAUUUAUUAAUGAUGUUUCCAAAAUUUGAACUGUUUAUUUUUGUUUCAAGUAACUUUCUUUUCUUCAAAUCACAUAAUCUAUAUUACUGAUUUCUGUUCUUGUUAUAGUUGGAGUGGUGCUGAUUUUCAAGUGGUUUAUCAAUGACUGAUCUCCCUUUCCAUAUCCUUACAUUUCCAACUUUGUCUACGUUCUGCUGCCCAUUUUCAUUUCUAUCUUUACCCCUCUCGUUUCAAUUGCGCCUUUUAGGCUCGGCCCAUCUUUGACUUAACACAAACAUGGCAUACCCCGUUUGAGCUUGCCCGGCUGUUUGACAGGUCUAAUACAACACUUUGAGAUUGAAAUAUUGAUUUUUUCUACUUAUUAUCAAUGUAAUAGUGUCGUAUAAUGCAAUAGAUUAUUAUACUGAUGUGACAUUGUUUUUGUUUGGUUCACUUAUUACAUGUAUUAGUUUAUUACAAAUGUAAUUCUAUUGGGCAUGGGUGUCAAAUUUUGGGUUAUAAGAAGUGUUUAAAAUUAUUAGUAUCAAUAUAUUGGUUGGGCAAAUUACUUGUGAUUGUUUGUCAUAAAGUAUUUUUUGUCUUAUUCAAAUGUAAUACUCCUAGCAUUAUUCAAUUUUAUUACAUUAAUUUGAAGGUUGUUCAUUACCUCCAAUGGACUCUGUUUCGUAAUAAAUGUCAUUUUAGAAGAAAAAAAAUUAAUUCUUAAUUAAUUGUCGUUUUUAGAUUUGUAGAAGAAUUUCUCUUGUUUUCUUAGAUUAUUCUAAAAUAUCUCAUCUU
rnacentral:lncRNA from 1 species